UAUUGGUCAAUGGUCGGGAGACUGAACCAGCCAAGCCGCGUGAGGGAGGAAGGUACAGAGUAUCGUAAACCUCUUUUGUCAGGGAACAAAGGCGGGGACGUGUCCCCGGAUGAGUGUACCUGAAGAAACAGCAUCGGCUAACGCCGUGCCAGCAGCCGCGGUAAUACGGAGGAUGCGAGCGUUAUCCGGAUUUAUUGGGUUUAAAGGGUGCGUAGGCGGGCUUUUAAGUCAGCGGUAAAAAUUCGGGGCUCAACCCCGUCCGGCCGUUGGAACUGGGAGCCUUGAGUGGGCGAGAAGAAGGCGGAAUGCGUGGUGUAGCGGUGAAAUGCAUAGAUGUCACGCAGAACCCCUAUUGCGAAGGCAGCCUUCCGGCGCCCUACUGACGCUGAGGCACGAAAGUGCGGGGAUCG
rnacentral:rRNA from 1 species